rnacentral:rRNA from 1 species
AAUGAACGCUGGCGGCACGCCUAACACAUGCAAGUCGAACGAAGGCUUCGGCCUUAGUGGCGCACGGGUGCGUAACGCGUGGGAAUCUGCCCUUGGGUUCGGAAUAACUCGGAGAAAUCCGUGCUAAUACCGGAUGAUGACGUAAGUCCAAAGAUUUAUCGCCCAAGGAUGAGCCCGCGUAGGAUUAGCUAGUUGGUGGGGUAAAGGCCCACCAAGGCGACGAUCCUUAGCUGGUCUGAGAGGAUGAUCAGCACACUGGGACUGAGACACGGCCCAGACUCCUACGGGAGGCAGCAGUGGGGAAUAUUGGACAAUGGGCGAAAGCCUGAUCCAGCAAUGCCGCGUGAGUGAUGAAGGCCUUAGGGUUGUAAAGCUCUUUUACCCGGGAUGAUAAUGACAGUACCGGGAGAAUAAGCUCCGGCUAACUUCGUGCCAGCCGCCGCGGUAA